GACGAACGCUGGCGGCGUGCUUAACACAUGCAAGUCGAACGGAAAGGCCCUGCUUUUGUGGGGUGCUCGAGUGGCGAACGGGUGAGUAACACGUGAGUAACCUGCCCUUGACUUUGGGAUAACUUCAGGAAACUGGGGCUAAUACCGGAUAGGAGCUCCUGCUGCAUGGUGGGGGUUGGAAAGUUUCGGCGGUUGGGGAUGGACUCGCGGCUUAUCAGCUUGUUGGUGGGGUAGUGGCUUACCAAGGCUUUGACGGGUAGCCGGCCUGAGAGGGUGACCGGCGACAAUGGGACUGAGAUACGGCCCAGACUGCUACGGGAGGCAGCAGUGGGGAGUAUUGCACAAUGGGCGGGAGCCUGAUGCAGCAACGCCGCGUGCGGGAUGACGGCCUUCGGGUUGUGAACCGCUUUCGCCUGUGACGAAGCGUGAGUGACGGUAAUGGGUAAAGAAGCACCGGCUAACUACGUG
rnacentral:rRNA from 1 species